rnacentral:rRNA from 1 species
GAUGAACGCUGGCGGCGUGCCUAAUACAUGCAAGUCGAGCGAAUGGAUUAAGAGCUUGCCCUUAUGAAGUUAGCGGCGGACGGGUGAGUAACACGUGGGUAACCUGCCCAUAAGACUGGGAUAACUCCGGGAAACCGGGGCUAAUACCGGAUAACAUUUUGAACCGCAUGGUUCGAAAUUGAAAGGCGGCUUCGGCUGUCACUUAUGGAUGGACCCGCGUCGCAUUAGCUAGUUGGUGAGGUAACGGCUCACCUAGGCAACGAUGCGUAGCCGACCUGAGAGGGUGAUCGGCCACACUGGGACUGAGACACGGCCCAGACUCCUACGGGAGGCAGCAGUAGGGAAUCUUCCGCAAUGGACGAAAGUCUGACGGAGCAACGCCGCGUGAGUGAUGAAGGCUUUCGGGUCGUAAAACUCUGUUGUUAGGGAAGAACAAGUGCUAGUUGAAUAAGCUGACACCUUGACGGUACCUAACCAGAAAGCCACGGCUAACUACGUGCCAGCCGCCGCGGUAA